CGUGAAAGAACCGAUGAACCGGUUUUUUCAACCGGUUUAUUGAAUCGAACCGUCCGAAAGAACCGGUUCGCGGAAAAGAAUCGAACUUCCCAUCACUAGAAGAUCCGACCGCUCCGCUGCAGGAGAAGAAGGAAAAAACGGUCCAAUGUGAGUUUACAUCACAUCCCUCUUCCGGCCGCUUGAAGAAGGGAGCAAUGGAUGUAAUAACACUGAUCAACUCAAGGACGUUCCCGCUGUAGUUGCUCAUGUCGUCCACUAGAGGGCAGCACAGACUCAUGUUUCUGUCUCUCUGACAGCUGUAAUGUGUCUUGGGGGCAGCAGCUGUCUCGGCACAUUCCUCAACAGAUCUUUCCAGCAAAUUUGCAUUUAGUCAGUGGUGAUGCAAGACCCAACAGGACUUGGUGGAAGCACACAAGAUUGCUUGGGAAGAAUCAACAAGAAUCCAUGAUACAAGACAACAUAUGUUGUAUGCAUGUUUUAAACUGAAGCUCACAACGCUAGGAAACUGAACAUACAUUUCCAGAUAUUCGAGUUUGCAAAGUGUGACUGGCAAAAUAUGUCAAACAUCAAUUUAAAUAAUUUAAUGCAAUCUUAUUUAGGUUUGAAUAACCUUAUUUCGUUUUUUUUUUCAGUCAACUUCCAUAUAACAGUUCCAAUGGUUCAAUCAGAUAAUCAGAUAAUGGAAUGGAAUAUAUGGAAUAUGUAUAUGUGUGUUGCAUGUUUCUUAUUUAAAUGAUAACAUAAAAUCAGCUGGUCAUUCUGUCAAAAUAACCAAACAAAACAAAAAAUAACAGAUUGAUACAAGACCAAAAGCUUGUUGCAUGCAUAUGUCAUAGGCUGAAUUACAGUGCUCACGCCCCCAAAAACAGACAUUUCUAGACAUUCAUUGAGUUGUUAUGUUUUUACAGCCUGACCGGCAAAAUCUAUCCCACUUAGAAACAUCACAGCUGACAGGAAGUGCUUUGUCAUCGUGGCUUCUUGACCUCUUCAUCCUCAAAGCAACCGGUCAUGAGCAGCUCGGGUGAAUGACCAUGAUCGUGUAAUUAAUGAGGAAAUGAUGAAAUGCUUCGGAAAGGCCUGUGUUAAACAACACUUGAGUGAUGCAACAUGACUUCCUCUCUUCUGUUGGCCAGUGUGAAGGAGAGAGAGAGGCAGAGGAAAUGAGCAGUCGGGCAGAACCGUGACAACACAGGAAAUACUGAGAGUGCUGAUCUUGGGGAGAAAGUUUGGAAAACACAUCCAGGGUUGCGCAGGAAUUAUUAGUUUUUCUGUAACAGUUCAAUAGAUUCACUGUGUAAAAUUAUUUGUGAGUUUUUCAGUCAAAUGUGCGGCUUUUGCAUUUGAAAAGAUGAUUUGUGAAGUAAAUUUUUGUAUUGACACAUACCCUUAGAUUUGAACA